rnacentral:rRNA from 1 species
AUUGGACGCUGGCGGCAUGCCUUACACAUGCAAGUCGAACGGUAACAGGUCUUCGGAUGCUGACGAGUGGCGAACGGGUGAGUAAUGCAUCGGAACGUGCCCAGUAGUGGGGGAUAGCCCGGCGAAAGCCGGAUUAAUACCGCAUACGACCUGAGGGUGAAAGGGGGGGAUCGCAAGACCUCUCGCUAUUGGAGCGGCCGAUGUCAGAUUAGCUAGUUGGUGGGGUAAAGGCCUACCAAGGCAACGAUCUGUAGUUGGUCUGAGAGGACGACCAGCCACACUGGGACUGAGACACGGCCCAGACUCCUACGGGAGGCAGCAGUGGGGAAUUUUGGACAAUGGGCGCAAGCCUGAUCCAGCAAUGCCGCGUGCAGGAAGAAGGCCUUCGGGUUGUAAACUGCUUUUGUCAGGGAAGAAAUCCUCUAGGUUAAUACCCUUGGGGGGAUGACGGUACCUGAAGAAUAAGCACCGGCUAACUACGUGCCAGCCGCCGCCGUAA